GUGGUCUCGGGAGGGGGUGAGGGGUUUCUCAGGGUUUUGGGACAGGGAAGUGUUCUUUAUUCAAUUUCCUCUCUACUUGCAAAAUGUCUUUGUAAGGGGAAAUAAGCACCUCGGUAUUUGUCCGCAGGCUGAAGGGGCUUUUUCAUCCCGAAUGAGUGUCAGCUUACCGAGCUCCCGGCCCUCUGGUGGCAGGACUGGUCAAGCCACCACUGCAGUGGUCACUUAAUGUCACCCAACACUGGGGACAGGGGGACCAGCACUGGACCCUGCGUGUAGAGGCCGGGAGAGGACAGCCUGCAGCUCAGACACACGUGUGGGGAUGGGCUGUGUUGGGCUGCUGCUUGUGUGAUCCAUGUGCUGCCUUACAGUGCACUUACAAAGCAGGCCAUCAUGCACAGCUGAGUGGAAUAAGACAGAAAUAAGGACAGACAGGCCGACCUCUCGUCUCCACCCGCUCAUCCAUCAGAAGGCCCCAGUGAAAGGUCAGCGUCUCAGCACAAGUGGCCUUCGGGUCCCUGAGAAGCAACCAGGCAGCUGUCACCAUAACCCACAGGUCAGAAGUCUCUACAGCAAAGCUAGAGGGAGCCGACAACGCUGGGCCCCGCCGUGCGGGCUCCGCACCACAGCCAGCGGCCUUCACCUCCACCAAGAGGAGAGCCGCUGGGCCACUCAGGCUCUCCCUGACUCCGUUCAGAUUCUGCCUCGGGCCCCUUGGGCUCUCACCAUAGGUCUGCUGCAGGGAACACAGGGCAGAAGCCUCCUGCCUGCCACGAGGGUAACUGGGCGACAGCGCCCAGGGCCCAUCCUCUUGUGCCCGCCUUUCGUCCCCCCGUGGUGGGCCCUGACUGUCUCAGGUUGGCUUUUCAAUUUUUCUCUGACUUGAAAUAGUUAUAUAUUUUGAAUACAAGUUAUUUGUUGGAUCUAAGCAGAGCUAAUACCUUAGCCACUUUCUUCACGGUGCAUGUGGAUGGACAGAGGGUUCUAGUUUUAUGAUAUCUCAAUUUUAUUUAAAAAACCUUUCUAUGAUGAACGCUAUUUGCUGAUUCUGUUCUGCCUUCUACACAGUUUGCUGUUGCAGCUUUUACAGCUGCACCGGAAGGCAGCUCUGUUCUCAUCUCUGGUCCUGGUAGAUAAUAAACCUCUUCUCUUUGCCUGCUUUUCAGUUCUUUAUGAAUUUCACCGACGUACUUAUGUUGUACCAAUUAUUUUCAUUUGUAUAUUUCCUUGGUAGUGGCUGAAUUAUUGGAUCCAUGGGUUUACAGAUUGUGGAAAAUAUUUUGCCAUUUCACUGUAAAUAUUUUCUUCUGUACUAUCGUCUUUUUUCUGAGAUUUCAACUCCAUGUAUGUGGGGCUGGUUGAUACUCUCUCAUGAACCAGAGAUGUGCUGUUCUGUGCUUUAUCUUUAAAACCCCCCCAUGAUUUAUUUUGGGUAGUUUUUAUUGUCAUAUUUUCAGUAUAAAAAAGAAUGAUCUUUUUUCCUGCAGUGUCUGUCUUUUUUCCUGUUUGCUGGGAAGAUCAUGCACUAUAUCUUUCCUGCUGGAUGUGUCUUCUCAUUUCUCGAUAUGAUCAUCCUCUCCUGCGUGCCUGGUCAUUUUUGAUGGGACAUUAUGCUGCUGAUGCUGGAUUUUGUAGUAUUCCUUUGAUAAAUAUUGGGCUUUGUUCUUCCAAAAUUACUUUAAUUUUGAGAUUUGCUUUGAGGCAUUUCUGGGGCCUGGGGCAGAACAAUAGGAAAUUCAGCCCUUCUCCUACAGCACUUCCUUUCAAGAACUCUUCAGGGUCCUGUGUGUCCCAAGGUCUCUUCUCCAACUGGUGGAACACACACAUCCCAAGCCUGUGUCAGUCCAAGGCAUGUCCAGCCUCAGGCAUCCAGUGGUCACGUGCCCUGCCUCAUGUGGGUUCUUCUCUUGUGUGUACAGAUGGUGACCUCUGGGCUCAUGCUCUGGGCUAUGACCUCCUCUCCACUAUUUUGCUCUGCUGAUCCUGGCUGCCACAGCCUCCCUGAACUCUAAUCUGAGUCUCAACUCAGCAACUCUGGUAGGCUGUGUAGAGCACCCUCCCUACACCUGUCUAACUCUAACACCCCAUCUCACCAAUGAGGCCCCCGAAGCCUCAUGUGAUCAUGGGGGGUUGGCUUUUUGGAGG